rnacentral:lncRNA from 1 species
UCCUCCCAACCAAGCAUAAGUAUAACCCCUCUUUCCCAUACAGAUAAAGGUUCUAUUCCCGUGAAUGGAGGGUCGUUAGACAAGCUUGAGCAAUUGAUUGUCCUCUAAGCAUAGAUAAUCGUUUCGAUCGAGAUGGUCCCCCAAACACUAAUCCUGGAACAGGCUACAGAGCUGCUUUCCAUUAGCAAACAGAUGGCGGAUGCUCUGCCAGAGGCAUCUACUCCCACACCAACAAAAAA